rnacentral:lncRNA from 1 species
UGGUUUAGUAAUUAGUGAUUAGGGUUUAGUAUUUAGAGUAAUAAGGGUGAGUUUGAGGCCAUUAUUAGAUUUUGAGAUUUGGGUUUAGAGUUUAGGGUUUAUGGUUUAUAUUUGGGUUUAAGGUUUAUACUUGGGUUUAGGGUUUAGUGAUUAGGAUUUAGGGUUUAGUAUUUAGAAAGGGCGGGGUUGGGAUUUGGGUUUAGUGAACAUGUAUCGUUUCAUUUGACGAUUAAUAAAGAAUGUUUUAUUUUGUUCACUAAUAUGUACUAUACUAUUUAUUUUAUUUCGUUCUAUUUGGGUUAGAGGCUAUACUUGGGAUUAGGGUUUAGUGAUUAGAGUUUAAAGUUUAGUAUUUGGAAGGUGUGGAGUUAAGGUUUGAGUUUAGUGAUAGCAGUUUAGGGUUUAAUAUUCAAAAUGUGCCUUCAAGUGUCCAAUAUUGGAAAACAAUUUAUAGAUUGUAUUUGAGUUUAUAGGUUCCUGCCUAGGGUUUAGAUUUACUAAGUAGAGGUUUGGGUAUAGUAAACCGUAUUAUAUACUAUUUGGGUUUAUGCUUUCUUAAUUAGGGUUUAGCUUUAAUAAUUAAUGGUGUGUCUUGUAUUGUUGUAUUUUUGCGGGUGGAGAGGAUUUACUAUUUGCAUUCCAUACUAUGGAUACACCACUGGAAUUUUUUGAUUAUUUGAAACAUUCGUAUACUAUACUACUAUGACUAUAUGGAAUAGAAGAUAUGUAACAUGCUAACCAAGUAAAUGUGCCUUCAAGUAA